GACGAACGCUGGCGGCGUGCCUAAUACAUGCAAGUAGAACGCUGAAGAGAGGAGCUUGCUCUUCUUGGAUGAGUUGCGAACGGGUGAGUAACGCGUAGGUAACCUGCCUUGUAGCGGGGGAUAACUAUUGGAAACGAUAGCUAAUACCGCAUAACAAUGGAUGACACAUGUCAUUUAUUUGAAAGGGGCAAUUGUUCCACUACAAGAUGGACCUGCGUUGUAUUAGCUAGUAGGUGAGGUAAUGGCUCACCUAGGCGACGAUACAUAGCCGACCUGAGAGGGUGAUCGGCCACACUGGGACUGAGACACGGCCCAGACUCCUACGGGAGGCAGCAGUAGGGAAUCUUCGGCAAUGGGGGCAACCCUGACCGAGCAACGCCGCGUGAGUGAAGAAGGUUUUCGGAUCGUAAAGCUCUGUUGUAAGUCAAGAACGGGUGUGAGAGUGGAAAGUUCACACUGUGACGGUAGCUUACCGGAAAGGGACGGCUAACUACGUG
rnacentral:rRNA from 1 species